rnacentral:rRNA from 1 species
UGCGUAGGCGGAUUAAUAAGUCAGUGGUGAAAACCUGCAGCUUAACUGCAGACCUGCCAUUGAUACUGUUAGUCUUGAGUACGGUCAAGGUAGGCGGAAUGUGUAAUGUAGCGGUGAAAUGCUUAGAUAUUACACAGAACACCGAUUGCGAAGGCAGCUUACUGGGCCAUUACUGACGCUGAGGCACGAAAGCGUGGGGAGCGAACAGGAUUAGUACCCUGGUAGUCC